rnacentral:rRNA from 1 species
AUUGAACGCUGGCGGCAGGCCUAACACAUGCAAGUCGAACGGUAACAGGAAGAAGCUUGCUUCUUUGCUGACGAGUGGCGGACGGGUGAGUAAUGUCUGGGAAACUGCCUGAUGGAGGGGGAUAACUACUGGAAACGGUAGCUAAUACCGCAUAACGUCGCAAGACCAAAAAGGGGGACCUUCGGGCCUCUUGCCAUCGGAUGUGCCCAGAUGGGAUUAGCUAGUAGGUGGGGUAACGGCUCACCUAGGCGACGAUCCCUAGCUGGUCUGAGAGGAUGACCAGCCACACUGGAACUGAGAAACGGUCCAGACUCCUACGGGAGGCAGCAGUGGGGAAUAUUGCACAAUGGGCGCAAGCCUGAUGCAGCCAUGCCGCGUGUAUGAAGAAGGCCUUCGGGUUGUAAAGUACUUUCAGCGGGGAGGAAGGGAGUAAAGUUAAUACCUUUGCUCAUUGACGUUACCCGCAGAAGAAGCACCGGCUAACUCCGUG